rnacentral:rRNA from 1 species
CCUACGGGAGGCAGCAGGGAGGAAUAUUGGUCAAUGGCCGAAAGGCGGAACCAGCCAAGUAGCGUGAGGGAAGACGGCCCUAUGGGUUGUAAACCUCUGUUAUGAGGGGAGAAAGGUGUCCACGUGUGGAGGUUUGCAGGGACCGCAUGAAUAAGGACAGGCUAAUGCCGUGCCAGCAGCCGCGAUAAUACGGAAGGUCCGGGCGUUAUCCGGAUUUAUUGGGUUUAAAGGGAGCGUAGGCCGGUCUUUAAGCGGGCCGUGAAAUUUUAUGGCUCAACCAUGAGAGUGCGGCGCGAACUGGAGACCUUGAGUGCGCGGAAGGCAGGCGGAAUUCGUGGUGUAGCGGUGAAAUGCUUAGAUAUCACGAAGAACCCCGAUUGCGAAGGCAGCCUGCCGCAGCGUUACUGACGCUGAAGCUCGAAAGCGCGGGUAUCGAACAGGAUUAGAUACCCGGGUAGUG